rnacentral:rRNA from 1 species
UACGUAGGUGGCAAGCGUUGUCCGGAUUUACUGGGCGUAAAGCGCUCGCAGGUGGUUUGUCGCGUCGUGCGUGAAAGACCCCGGCUCAACUGGGGAGGGUCGUGCGAUACGGGCGAACUGGAGGCCAGUAGGGGGAUGCGGAAUUCCGGGUGUAGUGGUGGAAUGCGUAGAGAUCCGGAGGAACACCAGCGGCGAAGGCGGCAUCCUGGACUGGUCCUGACACUCAGGAGCGAAAGCGUGGGGAGCGAUCCGG